ACAGUGGCUCGGGUUCUUUGCCAUGUCCUCGUCAUCUUCUCCCCAUAGCCCCGACGCCCCCUUUCUCCUUUCCUCACAAUCUCCUGCAAGCCGGUGACGACAGCAACUCCGGCGGUCCCUGUAAGCGGCGACGACAUCUCCUCAGUGUUCCUACCGGUGAAAUGGUUCUGCUCCGGCAUGGUGGAUUCCCUUCAUCUCCCGAUCCUUGUUGAAGAGCGGCGGCUCUAGAUCUAGGGUUUUCGUCGGAGUGGUUCUGCUUCGGUGAUUCCUUCCCUUCCUUUCCGUCCCUACCUCAUAAGAAAUUCCUUGCCAGGGUGGUUUUUCUCCGGCGCAGUGGAGUUUCCAAGAGGAGGAAGCCAGCGGUCCUUAUUCUUGUUCGGCAAUCCCUUCUCUGAGUGCAUCACUGAGGCUGAUGUGGAGGAUUUUCUCUGCGGACGUGGUUGCGGAAGCAGUACCUCCAGUAAAUUCAGUGGGUAUCAAGUUCCGGCAGAGCAAAUUUUUGAGUUGGAGUAGUAGAUCAGAGGGUGAAGGAAGCGAAUUCUGUGUGUAUUCUGGGUAUCAUGUUUGCUCUUCACCGAAGUGGUUCAGCUCUGGGAAGAAUCUGUUGGCGCGGGAAGUAUCCGACGAUCGAACUCGUAUUUUGAUAAUGACAAAGAAUUCAAAGUUAAGAUGUUUUGUA